rnacentral:rRNA from 1 species
AGAGUUUGAUCCUGGCUCAGGAUGAACUCCGGCGGUGUGCCUAAUACAUGCGAGUCGUACGCACUGGCCCAACUGAUUGAUGGUGCUUGCACCUGAUUGACGUUGGAUCACCAGUGAGUGGCGGACGGGUGAGUAACACGUAGGUAACCUGCCCCGGAGCGGGGGAUAACAUUUGGAAACAGAUGCUAAUACCGCAUAACAACAAAAGUCACAUGGCUUUUGUUUGAAAGAUGGCUUUGGCUAUCACUCUGGGAUGGACCUGCGGUGCAUUAGCUAGUUGGUAAGGUAACGGCUUACCAAGGCGAUGAUGCAUAGCCGAGUUGAGAGACUGAUCGGCCACAAUGGAACUGAGACACGGUCCAUACUCCUACGGGAGGCAGCAGUAGGGAAUCUUCCACAAUGGGCGCAAGCCUGAUGGAGCAACACCGCGUGAGUGAAGAAGGGUUUCGGCUCGUAAAGCUCUGUUGUUGGAGAAGAACGUGCGUGAGAGUAACUGUUCACGCAGUGACGGUAUCCAACCAGAAAGUCACGGCUAACUACGUGCCAGCAGCCGCGGUAAUACGUAGGUGGCAAGCGUUAUCCGGAUUUAUUGGGCGUAAAGCGAGCGCAGGCGGUUGCUUAGGUCUGAUGUGAAAGCCUUCGGCUUAACCGAAGAAGUGCAUCGGAAACCGGGCGACUUGAGUGCAGAAGAGGACAGUGGAACUCCAUGUGUAGCGGUGGAAUGCGUAGAUAUAUGGAAGAACACCAGUGGCGAAGGCGGCUGUCUGGUCUGCAACUGACGCUGAGGCUCGAAAGCAUGGGUAGCGAACAGGAUUAGAUACCCUGGUAGUCCAUGCCGUAAACGAUGAGUGAUAGGUG